UAGGGAAUCUUCCGCAAUGGACGCAAGUCUGACGGAGCAACGCCGCAUGAGUGAAGAAGGAUUUCGGUUCGUAAAACUCUGUUGUUAGAGAAGAACAGCGCAUAGAGUAACUGUUAUGCGUGUGACGGUAUCUAACCAGAAAGCCACGGCUAACUACGUGCCAGCAGCCGCGGUAAUACGUAGGUGGCAAGCGUUGUCCGGAUUUAUUGGGCGUAAAGCGAGCGCAGGCGGUCAAUUAAGUCUGAUGUGAAAGCCCCCGGCUCAACCGGGGAGGGUCAUUGGAAACUGGUUGACUUGAGUGCAGAAGAGGAGAGUGGAAUUCCAUGUGUAGCGGUGAAAUGCGUAGAUAUAUGGAGGAACACCAGUGGCGAAGGCGACUCUCUGGUCUGUAACUGACGCUGAGGCUCGAAAGCGUGGGUAGCAAACAGG
rnacentral:rRNA from 1 species